ACAGAGGUUGCAAACGUUGUUCGGAAUUACUGGGCAUAAAGCGCACGUAGGUGGUCCGCUAAGUCGAUUGUGAAAUUCCCCGGCUCAACCGGGGAACGGCAAACGAUACUGGCGGGCUUGAGGUCCGGAGGGGUGAGUGGAACUCCUGGUGGAGCGGUGAAAUGCGUAGAUAUCAGGAGGAACACCGGUGGCGAAAGCGGCUCACUGGACCGUUUCUGACGCUGAGGUGCGAAAGCUAGGGGAGCAAACGGGA
rnacentral:rRNA from 1 species